AUCCGGUCGACGAAUCCCAAAUAGGACGAAACACGCGUCCUGGAU
rnacentral:hammerhead_ribozyme from 1 species